rnacentral:rRNA from 1 species
AUUGAACGCUGGCGGCAUGCUUUACACAUGCAAGUCGGACGGCAGCACAGAGAAGCUUGCUUCUUGGGUGGCGAGUGGCGAACGGGUGAGUAAUAUAUCGGAACGUACCGAGCAGUGGGGGAUAACUAAUCGAAAGAUUAGCUAAUACCGCAUAUUUUCUGAGGAAGAAAGCAGGGGACCAUUUGGCCUUGCGCUGUUUGAGCGGCCGAUAUCUGAUUAGCUAGUUGGUGGGGUAAAGGCCUACCAAGGCGACGAUCAGUAGCGGGUCUGAGAGGAUGAUCCGCCACACUGGGACUGAGACACGGCCCAGACUCCUACGGGAGGCAGCAGUGGGGAAUUUUGGACAAUGGGCGCAAGCCUGAUCCAGCCAUGCCGCGUGUCUGAAGAAGGCCUUCGGGUUGUAAAGGACUUUUGUCAGGGAAGAAAAGGAUAGGGUUAAUACCCCUGUCUGA